rnacentral:rRNA from 1 species
CAAAUGGAAACCUGUUAGGAGAGGAGCGCGCGUCGCACGAAGGUCACCCAGCACCUUGGGAUCUGGGGAAAGGGGUUAGGGUGCCGGCGGAGGUAGGAGGGCACGAGGUGGGGCUCGCACGGGCCCGAGGAGGAGGAGGAGGAGGAGGAGGAGGUGGUGGUAGGGAAGAGAAGAGUGAGAAGGAGGACAGCGUUGGCGGAGGAGAAGAGGGAUAGAAGGAGGAGGAGCGGGGUGCGCUGGGGAGAACACGGCGAGCAGAGGUGAAGCAACGGCGGUAUCUAGCUCCUCCUGCCGCGCUACUGCUGGUACUACGUAAUCUGUAGGGUCUAGCUGCUGCGGUACCUUCGGUACUCUCGACCGGCUCCUUCUCCCCCGUCCCGGCGUCCGGUACUUCCCGUACCGCCGACGCCCGCCUUCGUCGUACCCAACUUCCUCGCCGCCUACACCCGUCCCAGUAUCCAACCCCUUGUGAGCAGCCGACCCGCUGUCGUUCGCGGCCACUCACGUUCGUACGCAAAGGUCUUCGCAGGAGAGGAUGUUCCGUCCGUUCCUGCUGCAGCAGCGGGAGCGUCCAAGAUGCUAGACAACGUAUAGAAAAGAAGAGCAAUUCCUCUCCCCUCCGCCGGUUACUGUCCCUCUUCCUCGUCCAGCAGCUCCUCACGUUCGUCUUCCAAAGGCCACUGACCUUCAGGCUUUGACUACUGUCCCGUAUAACAAAACCAAUACUCACCAACCUCUAUAACACCGAACUACAGGGACCUCGUCAGUCUGGGAAGGUUCUAUCCAGCUCGCUGCCACUCGUGUAGGCUGCGGUUGUGUGGUUCGUUUUUUCUUCGUCCUCGUUUUGCUUUCACUCGUGGUAUCUUUCCUACUAAUAUUCGUUCGCUGUUCUUGUUCGGUUACCCGUACCGUAAAAGUUCGCAGUUCUUGUUCGGCUGCCCGUACCGUAAAAUACGUUUUACUCGUCUCUCUGGUCCGCACCCUGACCACGAACCAUCGUCGUCACUAAGGAAGUCCGUAAAGCUAAGGUCAUUGGUGUUCAAGAUCCCUUCUACAUACAAAGGAUGUUUCCCAAACUCAAACUCUCCGUGUUUUCUUCAAUGUUCACAACGUCGAAUAAACCGAAAUAUCACUGUACAUAGCUGUUUGCUAACAAUAUAAGUCAUACGAUCCGACACAGGAUAAAUAGUACGUCUAAGACAUAAUCCACGAGCUAUCUCCAAAAACACCAGCACAGUAUGUGGUUAAUGGCAGCUCUACCCAUUACCAUACCCUUACCCCGAGGUUCCUACACUUUUACCAGCCCUUCUGUCUCAAUCGUCGCUGUACACAGGAGUUCAUUAAAGAACGGUUUCCACUACAGUUCCAAUCGAUGACACUAGUUCCUUUAUUGUACAUAGACACACCAAACAAGAACGACAACUAGCCGGCAACGACACAAAUUCCAUACAACACGGGCCACGAUGAAUUACGAUAUAUUUUGGAUAUCGAUAUGUAUUUUGCGGAACUAUACGUUUAUUGGGUCAAUUUUAUUUACCCAACGCGGUAGAUCGUAAUGUACUGCUGUACGGUUUGUGAAACGGUGGAUCCUAUCAGAUAUAAACAUAAAGUAAGACAAUAGAGUAUAAAGGUCAUUUUUUUUGAGAAGCGAAACCCCAAAACCUUAUUAAAAGUCCUUCAACCACUGCUCAAUCAUCUUGAAUAUCUUUACAGCGAAAGUAAUCUGUUACUGUACGGUUUCUGCGGUGACGGAUUCCAUCAGAAACCUGAAUUCGAUAGAGUAUACAUGUUAUUGUUCUAAACAGCGAAGUCAAAAAUCUUAUUAGUAACUAUUCAACCAAUUCUUAAUCUCGAUUUCAAUGCGAGUACUCAUCAUAAACAACAUGUUUGUAGGUCAAUUAAGAACUCUAUGUUAUCUCUGUGAUAUAAACAUCGCUGGGCUGGAGUCUGCCAGUUCAGAGACACGAAUUCACAGUAGGGACCUAGCCAUACGACUGUGUAUGUCAUGAGCUCCUAAAUAUUAUCUCCAUUUAGUGUACAUAUUUCAUUGCAUUUUAUGAUAAUGGAGUUAGGUUUAUCGCCUUCAUUGUCCCAACACCUAAGGGUAGUUGUGGUUGCCGUUUCAACUCACAUCUUUAACAUUGGGAUUGCAUAGUGAAUGAGCAGCAUUCUUCAGGACAUUGUACUCUGCAACGUCGGUGUUUCCCAGUCAUGUAACUUACAUGAUCGUUUAAGUGUGGUAUCUCUUUACUACUUGUUACCGAUAGUGAUGUACGUAUAUACCGAUCACCUUUUCGAGAUACCAAUAUUCCAAAAACGCUUUUCAGUUAAAAAGGGAUGACGUUUCCUUAUUUAAAAUAAAUUGAUAGUACCACCAACAAUUGUAACUCUCACAUCUGUGGGAUAGUUAGGGUUAAUUCGUAGUGGUAAUUUUGGGUUGUUCUAAUUAAUUUCAGUGUACUACUCUAAGUGUACUAUUAGGUUCAUGAUCUAUGAGUUCUGCAGGUAUUGGCCCCUGUGCCGAUUAGUACUAAUCAAAUAUGUGAGACGUCUCCAAACGCGUGAAAAGGGGUGUUCUGAGCUAGAGGAGGCAACCUAAAGAGCGUGAUGUACCACAAACUCUUUGCCUACUGGCUCUGUCAGAAAGUCUUCGGAAACGUGGAAUGCUACCCAUCUGGCAUGGUGGAUGAUGGGGAUGUAGACGAUCAGAUGGUGACAUUCUCAAGUGUGCUGAAUUAGUUGAUACGAUCUCGGGUAUUAUCGAACACCUACGUGUGCCUUCAAAGAUCAUACUUAUUAGAGUACUAGGGAAACUCGGACCCACCGCCAAGUAUUUUUUUUGUCCGUUAGCGACCUUAUGGGUCCACGGAUUUGUCCGUUAGCGACCUUAUGGGUCCACGGAGUUAGGUAGGUCUACACACAAUUUCAACAGUGGAAUUCAUUUGGUAAUUAAUUGUUAGAGUGUAGACAGUACUUAUGAGAGUUUGGGUUAGGUGUAGAUACUCGUAUCGUAUCGUCAUAUUCGUAUUGCAUUAUCAUUGAGGAUUCCAAACUUACGUCCCGUUAUCCAAGGAUGGAGUAGUUGAUGAAGGGUUAUGGGUGUACAAUAGUUAGGAUGAGUACGUUACAAACUCCAACUUUGAUUACGUAUUUUUGAUCCAUACUUUCCUUAUACUAGUUUCACACUUGAACGGACGUUACAACUACUUCUACUAAGCGUGAGUUUUGAGGACUACCAAGAUGAACAGUGUGAGGCCAGUUAGAUAGCAUUCGUUCGUUAUCAUUGGUGUGUAUUCGUUAGUGAGUUUUCUAGUAUUUCUUGCUUCUUCUGUUAAGCCUUUUGUAGUUUUAGUUCGUUUAGUGAAAACGUUGUAUUUUAUUAAAGAUUGUCAUGGUUUUAAUUCACUUAAACCGGAAUAGUCUUUCAAAUCCAGUUCUCGAAGCUAAACGUUUUUCUUAGUUGAGUUUGUUAGUUAGUUUAGAUAGAUAAAUAUAUUGUAAGGUUUUAAAUCCUAAAACCCUACAAUGUUAUAAUCAUGAUGAAAUCAGUUUAUGUAACAGGUGAUCAACAACAUCACUUUACAUCGAGAUCGAUAAUUAAAUGUCUUAACAGCUUUUAUCGGGGAUGUCUUAAUGUUUCUCGCUCUUAUUCCUUCAACCGUUUGAAUCACGAAGUACAAUAAAGUCAUCUUUCCUUUAUCUUCUCUUAAGAGACAGAUUCUCCCUACCGUAACUAAAUUUCUUUCUCUGAAUGGAAGCCUUUAGUAUAACGUGAAUAGAUGUUCUAAACCCCUACGCCGAGUUUCACAUUCUAUAAAAUACAGGAAGAUACGUAAAUAGCUAUAACAUCGGACAACCACUGACAGGGAAUGAAUAGGUUUUUGUAACUCAAGACGAUGAAUGGGUUGGUCUACAAUUUAUAAAGUUUUACGUAGAAAUAUAACAGUAACAUAGCAUUAACGAAGAGGACUACACAAAAACAAAAUGUGGUCGUAUAUAAACCAGGUCUCUAUAAGUUAACAAACAGACUAUUCUAUUAUAAAAUGAAGAAAUACCUCGUGAGAAUACCGUUCGUGUAAAAAGACCUACUUGACGACCAACCAAAAAAGAGGUAUUUAUGCUAUUUAAUAGUAUAGUAUACUUUACAAUUCUAUAUGACUUUUAUACGGGACAUACUACCACCAGACCGUAAAAUCUUAACAAAACCCGUUAAGUACAAACAUACGUAAAAAAGAAAACCGGGAACUUCCGUAGAAAUUAUCAAACGUUAACGCUAUCUUUAACAACACGAGCAUAGAAAUCAAAAAUAAUGUUAACCAGCUCGAUGUUGCUCACGCAGACUAAGGUUGAGUAGUUCCACUCGAGGGAAAAAAUAAGAAGAGUCCAUUACUCCGCAGUCACAUCCGGGUUAGAAAAACAAACAACGAAACUUCUCACAACAGUACAACACCUUUCCGUUGUACACGAACUAUACACCUCAACCACAACUCGGACCGCCAUCAUCUGUCCCUUCCGUGGGUAGAGUGAACUAGAACUCUCAACUAAGUAUAGAAAAAAAGAACUGGACUAACUCAAGGACAUAUACGUUCCUAUUUCUUCUUCCCCGUAACAGCACCAACAACGAAUUCCACAACCAGUCCUCGACUAACAGCCCUGACUACUGUUCUUGCCUCUCGUCCUACUCAUACAGUUGUACUACAAGGAACUACAACCGGAAGAAAAUAUUUCAAGUGUACGUUGAGAGGAGGUACCAAUCUUUUUUGAUUAAAUUUACAAAACAAAGAAACCACCAAUGAGUGAAGAGAAUGGCAACAACAUAGUUUUGUUAACAUAAAAGCAACUAUCGGUGAACCCGAGUAAAAGCUCCUCUUACUCUACACCUUAUUUGAUGAGAUUUUACCAACCAAGGGAAGUUUGUCAAAUAAUCGAUUGAUUAAAACCGACG